GACGGAGGAUGCAAGUGUUAUCCGGAAUCACUGGGCGUAAAGCGUCUGUAGGUGGUUUCACAAGUCUACUGUUAAAGCUUGAAGCUUAACUUCAAAAAUGCCGUAGAAACUUUUAAACUUGAGUAUGGUAGGGGUAGAGGGAAUUUCCAGUGGAGCGGUGAAAUGCGUAGAUCUUGGAAAGACCACCAAUGGCGAAGGCACUCUACUGGGCCAUAACUGACACUAAGAGACGAAAGCUAGGGGAGCAAAUGGG
rnacentral:rRNA from 1 species